rnacentral:sRNA from 1 species
CUUCUUCCACUUGUUGGGGGCAGAUGUAGUGGACAUGCGCGUCGAUCGCUCCCGCCGUAACGAUCAAUUUUUCUCCGGCAAUGGCUUCAGUCGAAGAACCAAUGACGAGUGAUGGGUGCACGUUGGCCAUGAUAGCAGGGUUACCAGCUUUUCCUAUGCCCGCAAUCAUUCCAUUCUUGACACCUAUAUCCGCCUAAACGCAAGGACGUAAAGGGCGUUCCGAAACAAAUAUUGGAGGUUUACCUUGUAAAUGCCUGACCAAUCGACAAUCAGUGCAUUUGUUAUUACCAAGUCAAGGGUCUCAAGGGAAGAUAGAUUCGUUGCUUGACCCAUACCCUCGCGAAUG